rnacentral:rRNA from 1 species
CCUACGGGAGGCAGCAGUGAGGAAUAUUGGUCAAUGGGCGCCAGCCUGACCCAGCCAAGUAGCGUGAAGGAUGACUGCCCUACGGGUUGUAAACUCUUUUUAUAAAGGCAUAAAGUGAGGCGCGUGUGCCUUAUUGUAUGUACUUUAUGAAUAAGGAUCGGCUAACUCCGUGCCAUCAGCCGCGGUAAUACGUAGGAUCCGAGCGUUAUCCGGAUUUAUUGGGUGUAAAGGGAGCGUAGAUGGGUUGUUAAGUCAGUUGUGAAAGUUUGCGGCUCAACCGUAAAAUUGCAAUUGAUACUGGCAGUCGUGAGUACAGUUGAGGUAGGCGGAAUUCGUGGUGUAGCGGUGAAAUGCUUAGAUAUAACGAAGAACUCCGAUUGCGAAGGCAGCUUACUAAACUGCCACUGACAUUGAUGCUCGAAAGUGUGGGUAUCAAACAGGAUUAGAUACCCUAGUAGUC